rnacentral:rRNA from 1 species
CCUACGGGUGGCUGCAGUGAGGAAUAUUGGUCAAUGGGCGAGAGCCUGAACCAGCGAAGUCGCGUGAAGGAUGACGGCCCUACGGGUUGUAAACUUCUUUUGUCAGGGAGCAAUUGAGUCCACGUGUGGUCUUAGCGAGAGUACCUGAAGAAAAAGCAUCGGCUAACUCCGUGCCAGCAGCGGCGGUAAUACGGAGGAUGCGAGCGUUAUCCGGAUUUAUUGGGUUAAAAGGGGGCGUAGGCGGAAUAUCAAGUCAGCGGUAAAAAUUCGGGGCUCAACCCCGUCGUGCCGUUGAAACUGAUGUUCUUGAGUGGGCGAGAAGUAUGCGGAAUGCGUGGUGUAGCGGUGAAAUGCUUAGAUAUCACGAAGAACCCCGAUUGCGAAGGCAGCUUACUAAACUGUGACUGACAUUGAUGCUCGAAAGUGUGGGUAUCAAACAGGAUUAGAUACCCCAGUAGUC